rnacentral:ncRNA from 1 species
CGGCUACACUGCGGGCGCAAUGUCGAGGGUGGUGAGAACAGUGUUACAAAUGCUCUUCUCGCCAGCCAUGGCAAAGCUGAGAAGUACCGUCAGAACUCGAUCAAGAUAAUACUUGCGUGAGGAACGUGCUGCCGCUACUUC